CAUUCGGGGCGUGCCUAAUACAUGCAAGUCGAACGAACUCUGGUAUUGAUUGGUGCUUGCAUCAUGAUUUACAUUUGAGUGAGUGGCGAACUGGUGAGUAACACGUGGGAAACCUGCCCAGAAGCGGGGGAUAACACCUGGAAACAGAUGCUAAUACCGCAUAACAACUUGGACCGCAUGGUCCGAGUUUGAAAGAUGGCUUCGGCUAUCACUUUUGGAUGGUCCCGCGGCGUAUUAGCUAGAUGGUGGGGUAACGGCUCACCAUGGCAAUGAUACGUAGCCGACCUGAGAGGGUAAUCGGCCACAUUGGGACUGAGACACGGCCCAAACUCCUACGGGAGGCAGCAGUAGGGAAUCUUCCACAAUGGACGAAAGUCUGAUGGAGCAACGCCGCGUGAGUGAAGAAGGGUUUCGGCUCGUAAAACUCUGUUGUUAAAGAAGAACAUAUCUGAGAGUAACUGUUCAGGUAUUGACGGUAUUUAACCAGAAAGCCACGGCUAACUACGUGCCAGCAGCCGCGGUAAUACGUAGGUGGCAAGCGUUGUCCGGAUUUAUUGGGCGUAAAGCGAGCGCAGGCGGUUUUUUAAGUCUGAUGUGAAAGCCUUCGGCUCAGCCGAAGAAGUGCAUCGGAAACUGGGAAACUUGAGUGCAGAAGAGGACAGUGGAACUCCAUGUGUAGCGGUGAAAUGCGUAGAUAUAUGGAAGAACACCAGUGGCGAAUGCGGCUGUCUGGUCUGUAACUGACACUGAAGCUCGAAAGUAUGGGUAGCAAACAGGAUUAGAUACCCUGGUAUUCCAUACCGUACACGAUGAAUGCUAAGUGUUGUAGGGUUUCCACCCUUCAGUGCUGCGACUAACGCCUUAGGCAUUCCGCCAGGGGUGUACGGCCGCAAUGCAGAAACUCCAGCGAAUUGAUUGGGGCCCGCAAAGCGGAGACGAUGGGGAUCAAUUCAAACUACGCCAGCAAGCCUCACCAGGUCUCGACGUACUAUGGAAUAUACAGAAUAUACGUGCACAUCUACGCACUGGAAACUGGUGCUGCAUG
rnacentral:rRNA from 2 species